AUUGAACGCUGGCGGCGUGCCUAACACAUGCAAGUCGAGCGAUUCUCUUCGGAGAAGAGCGGCGGACGGGUGAGUAACGCGUGGGUAACCUGCCCUGUACACACGGAUAACAUACCGAAAGGUAUGCUAAUACGGGAUAAUAUGCUUUAGUCGCAUGGCUGAAAUAUCAAAGCUCCGGCGGUACAGGAUGGACCCGCGUCUGAUUAGCUAGUUGGUAAGGUAACGGCUUACCAGGCGACGAUCAGUAGCCGACCUGAGAGGGUGAUCGGCCACAUUGGAACUGAGACACGGUCCAAACUCCUACGGGCGGCAGCAGUGGGGAAUAUUGCACAAUGGGCGAAAGCCUGAUGCGGCAACGCCGCGUGAGCGAUGAAGGCCUUCGGGUCGUAAAGCUCUGUCCUCAAGGAAGAUAAUGACGGUACUUGAGGAGGAAGCCCCGGCUAACUACGUGCCAGCAGCCGCCGUAA
rnacentral:rRNA from 1 species